AACACAUCUUUAAAUAAUUUUUAUGAAUGAUUCCUUCUAGUCUUAUAAACAUCACCCAAAAAAAAAAAAAAGUAAUCCUUUGGGCCGUAAAGACAAACAAGUCACCUUUUUGGUCGUCUCGAAAGUAGUCUGCCCUAAAAAACCCCGGCGCAAGAUCUCUAUCAAACCCUCAGGCUUCAGCCGCUCUCCUUAUAAAACAGUACAAACGCACACUACUUGGUGCAUACAAUCCUAUCAUAUUCAUAGCUCAUCAUGUCUGAAUUUGUGGUAGGGCCAUCGUCUUGUUCGCUUAAUUAUAAACAUGACAUGUUCUUGAGUUUUAGAGGUGAUGACGAUCGUUAUAUUUUCACCAGUUCCUUUCUGAAGACGCUUAAGGGUGCCAAUAUUGCCAUCUUGGUAGAUGAUCAAACAAUUAAAACCCCUGAAGAUCUGAAACCAGAAUUGGGGAUUGGCAUCAAAGAAUCCAGGGCUUCUAUUAUUGUGUUGCCCAAAAAUUACACCAGUUGGAUAUUGAUUCUUGAGGAGGGUAUCACAUCCAACCAAUUUGUUAUCCCCAUUUUUUAUCAUGUUGAGCUCACCCAUAUCAGGAAGCAAGAAUAUACAUUUUAGAGAACUUAAAGCGAAGGUUGGAGACCGAGUUUAUUAAAGAAAUUGUUCAAGAUAUCCACUAUAGAUUACAAGUACUAUUAAGGAGUGCUGUGCCACAACUUAUUGGGAGGUACAACUCCAUUAAAUUCGUCACUUAAUGGUUGAAAGAUAGUUCCUCAUAUAUGGGUGACAUACUCACUAUUUUGUGUAUAAGAGAGAUCGGGAAGACAUCUUUAGCCAAAUAUGUCUAUAGGUCAUAUUUUCAUGAAUUUGAUACAAGCAGCUAUAUUGAAGAUAUCAGUAGGAGAUGUGAUGAAAAAUUUAGUGGUUUUUUUGAUUUACAAAAACAAAUGUGUGGUGACAUUACGAAAACAAGUCCAAUUCAAGUUCAUGAUGUUUCUAUGUACACCUCAAUGUCGAGAAUGCAGGAGAUGGUAAAAACAUGUUUAUAGUUCUUGGCAAUAUUGAUAGUCAUUACUUGGAAGCAAAAGUAUUUGAGGUGGGAAGCAAAAUUAUAAUAACAACAAAUUACACAUGGUCGACAACUAGUUGUGCACUAUUGAAAACAGAGAAAAUAUUUAAGGCCUCAUUCUUGACAUGAGAAGAUGGAUCGUUUUAUGCAUAUUUAAUGUUUUUUGUUUUCUCCAUAUACAUGUUUAUCACAUUUUAAAUAUUUUUUGCAUCUAUCUCUUAGUGUGUGUGUGGUCAUGUAUGUCUCUUUUUUACGGCUUAGUACUAGAGGCAAAGAGGGUGGGAAGUUAAAGCGGAAGAAUUGGGUGUAAUUGUUAUAUUUAUUUAUUUUCUCGUGUAUAUUUGUCCUAGCCUCUGCUAGGCUUGGUUUUUAUAAAAGUUAUGAUAUUAGAAAAAGAAGAUGGAUAAUUAAUUAAUCUAGUGUUGCUAGAA